AGAGGCCAGCACAGCUCAGACCUGACUCCUCCCUCCGGGCCUCCGGCCAUUGGCGUUCGUGCCGCUAGGCUGUGUGAGUUGGUGCCUCCCGGCAGGGACAAAACUCGGCCCCGGGCCCCCAUCCCCAGGGGCUGGGGGUGACACCGGCGUGGAGCCGCCCCGCCCCUUGCACAAUACGCGUGGGCGGAGCUUUGGUGGCGGUGAGAGGGCGGGGCGCCGCGCUGUCCACCAGGGUCCAGCGGGGCAGCCUGGGCGGGACCGUCGUGUCCGCGCCUUAUAAGGCCGUGAGUGGCUCGGUCGCCGGGGGCGGAGUAGGACCUCCGCCCUCCGGGUGUAGUCCUCUGGGAAGGGGGGAGUAGCGUGGCUCCGCGUUAGGGGAGACAAUGGCAACUCGGGCUUCCGAGUCCCUAAAAAAACCCAGACAUCCUGGCCCAGCCUGUCUUUCUAAGGACCCAUAUUCGGCAUCGCAUGCUCGUCCUCGGCUGAACCCCAAGAUCCUGGACCACCGCCCCAGGGGUCGGGAUCCCCCAGCCUCACCUCUCCAGCGAGCGGCUGCUACGACUAAAGCAAAGGCGACAGCUGCGGACCGCAAGGGAAGAUACAACAGCUGGAGGAGGGGGGCUCCGAGGGGAUGCCCUCCACGACACUGCACCUAAAUCCGUCUCCCAGCUGGGCUGGGAAGGCCGUUGCCAUGGAAACCCGCGUGUUGAUGGACUCCAGGACCAAGCCCACCGCCACCCCACCCCACCCCACCCCCGGCCCUGACCACACCGACCGCGCUGGAGGUUCUCCUUCGUUCGCUGCCCCCACCCGCCGGAUUCACGAAUUCCACAGAUCUCCACCGCUAGACCCCAGUACAUAUCCCCAGCUCCCAGCCAAAUAGCACACCUCUCUCCCUCCUGAGGGCCUCCAUGCAGUUCCACUGAAUGUGUACAAGCUCACCGGAUCUGCAAGUGUUUAGCCUCCUGAAUAGGAGACCUUGUGCAAACCCAAGACGGACCAGUGACCGCAGACUGCUGAGAAAGCUGGCCCUGAACUUCCUCAUCCCAGUUAACUCCUUAAAGCUCUUAUUCUGGAAGAAGGAGUUCCUGCCACUCCUCUCAAGCUGAUUUUGGCAGGCAUACAAAGGACAAGGAAAGCAAAUAAGGAGCCAGAGUUAUUCAUCCCGAGGAGAGACUUGCGGCCUGCUCCAUAAGGCGAA